UACGUAGGGCGCAAGCGUUGUCCGGAAUUACUGGGCGUAAAGCGCGCGUAGGCGGCUUUGCAAGUCGGGUGUGAAAUCCCCAGGCUUAACCUGGGAACUGCAUUCGAGACUGCAUUGCUAGAGUAUGGGAGAGGGAAGUGGAAUUUCCGGUGUAGCGGUGAAAUGCAUAGAUAUCGGAAGGAACAUCAGUGGCGAAAGCGACUUCCUGGACCAAUACUGACGCUCAUGUGCGAAAGCGUGGGGAGCAAACAGG
rnacentral:rRNA from 1 species